UACGUAGGGUGCAAGCGUUAAUCGGAAUUACUGGGCGUAAAGCGUGCGCAGGCGGUUCUAUAAGACAGAUGGGAAAUCCCCGGGCUCAACCUGGGAACUGCAUUUGUGACUGUAGAGCUGGAGUACGGCAGAGGGGGAUGGAAUUCCGCGUGUAGCAGUGAAAUGCGUAGAUAUGCGGAGGAACACCGAUGGCGAAAGCAAUCCCCUGGGCCUGUACUGACGCUCAUGCACGAAAGCGUGGGGAGCAAACAGG
rnacentral:rRNA from 1 species